rnacentral:sRNA from 1 species
GCUGGGUGAGGUGGCGCUUGCCUAUAAUCCCAGCAGCUGGGGAGGCUGAGACAGGAGUUCAAAGCCAGCCUCAUCAACAGCCAGGCGCUAAGCAACUCAAUGAGACCCUGUCUCUA